GAUGAACGCUAGCUACAGGCUUAACACAUGCAAGUCGAGGGGAAACGAUAUUGGAAGCUUGCUUCCGAUAGGCGUCGACCGGCGCACGGGUGAGUAACGCGUAUCCAACCUGCCCACCACUUGGGGAUAACCUUGCGAAAGUAAGACUAAUACCCAAUGAUAUCUCUAGAAGACAUCUGAAGGAGAUUAAAGAUUUAUCGGUGAUGGAUGGGGAUGCGUCUGAUUAGCUUGUUGGCGGGGUAACGGCCCACCAAGGCGACGAUCAGUAGGGGUUCUGAGAGGAAGGUCCCCCACAUUGGAACUGAGACACGGUCCAAACUCCUACGGGAGGCAGCAGUGAGGAAUAUUGGCCAAUGGACGAGAGUUUGAAGCAGCCAAGUAGCGUGCAGGAUGACGGCCCUAUGGGUUGUAAACUGCUUUUAUAAGGGAAUAAAGUGAGCCUCGUGAGGCUUUUUGCAUGUACCUUAUGAAUAAGGACCGGCUAAUUCCGUGCCAGCCGCCGCCGUAA
rnacentral:rRNA from 1 species